CCUACGGGGGGCAGCAGUGAGGAAUAUUGGUCAAUGGGAGAGAUCCUGAACCAGCCAAGCCGCGUGAGGGAAGACGGCCCUAUGGGUUGUAAACCUCUUUUGUCGGAGAACAAAACCCGGGACGUGUCCCGGACUGCGUGUAUCCGAAGAAAAAGCAUCGGCUAACUCCGUGCCAGCAGCCGCGGUAAUACGGAGGAUGCGAGCGUUAUCCGGAUUUAUGGGGUUUAAGGGGUGCGUAGGCGGUCCGUUAAGUCAGCGGUAAAAUUGCGGGGCUCAACCCCGUCGAGCCGUUGAAACUGGCAGUCUUGAGUUGGCGAGAGGUACGCGGAAUGCGCGGUGUAGCGGUGAAAUGCAUAGAUAUCGCGCAGAACUCCGAUUGCGAAGGCAGCGUACCGGCGCCAGACUGACGCUGAGGCACGAAAGCGUGGGGAUCGAACAGGAUUAGAUACCCCAGUAGUC
rnacentral:rRNA from 1 species